AAUUACUCUGUGGUUCUCCUUUGUGGAGUCAAGAAAAUUGUUUUUUUCUUUUGAGCUGUACGUAGCUUACAGUAAUUGGAUAAAGAACAAUUGAAACACUAACCUUUCUCUCUACCUGAUGUCUCCAGAAUUUGGAAAGUAUUUCCCCGCAGACUGGAGCAAGACAACUUGAAUAAACUAUGGGAAAAAUCACUACAGCAACAUAUAUAAACAGCCUUUAUGCUUGUUGAUGUAUGGAAUACUCAGAAAGUUCACUGCAACACCUGAUUUAAACUACAACCAGGAGACUCUGUCAGAUUAACACUACAAUCUGAAGAACUAUAGAGACUGUCAAAAAACUAGUGUAGAGUCUACAGUAGAUAUUAACCUUUGUUUUUCUUCUGUUUUCAUAGAAACACCUUUUAUUAAAAAUCUGUUUUCCUGCUUCAGUCCUAGUCCAUCUGUAAUGCCACCCCCUGGAAUGAGACAUAGCUGUUUAACUGAACUGAUCUAUUCUCGGGACUAAGAGACUGAUU